UACGUAGGGGGCUAGCGUUGUCCGGAAUCAUUGGGCGUAAAGCGCGUGUAGGCGGCCCGAUAAGUCCGCUGUGAAAGUCCAGGGCUCAACCCUGGGAUGCCGGUGGAUACUGUCGGGCUCGAGUCCGGAAGAGGCGAGUGGAAUUCCUGGUGUAGCGGUGAAAUGCGCAGAUAUCAGGAGGAACACCAAUGGCGAAGGCAGCUCGCUGGGACGUGACUGACGCUGAGGAGCGAAAGUGUGGGGAGCGAACAGG
rnacentral:rRNA from 1 species